rnacentral:tRNA from 1 species
AAUGAGAUGCCUGAUAAAAGGAUUAUUUUGAUAGAAUAAAACAUGCAUUCAUAUGCUCUCAUUA